rnacentral:tRNA from 1 species
AUUUAAGUAGUUUAUUUAAAACAUUGAUUUGUGGAGUCAAAAAUGUAAAGUUACCUUAAGUA